AGAAUACAGGUCAAUUAUUCUUCACUAAUUCAUUUCCUUGUAGUACAGUUGUGUUAGUUAUUUGCUUGCAAGAUAGCAUCUUCCUGAAUGAUUUCUUUAUAUUUUUCAGAUAAGGAGAACUUUAACCUUGCGCCCACCUAUGGCAAUAUUGCCCUCUUUAUAUUCUCCCUCGCUCAUCAGCAGCAGCGAUGGUGGCGUCAUUGUCGGCCUUGCAGCAUGUGGCAUAAUCAUGUCCAUUGCCUACUCUGGGGCAGAUCUUUGAAAGUUCCAAGUUGGUUAAUGUUGAUUUUUGCUCAUGCACAACCCAUCAUAGGAAUUAGUAGGAUCCUCUUCGAUGGAUGUAAGGACUGCAACAGGUUUCUUUCAGCAGCCUGGGGUUGUUAAGAAGAGGGUCGGGAUUGCUCUGGGCAGAUGCUUAAAUUCCUGGAUGUAAACGCACACUUGUCUCCUACACAGGCCAAAAUACUAUUGGAGAUAAGGAUACCCGCGCUGCUGCUGUUGCGUUUGGUUAGGGAGGGGCUUCUUCGUCUGCUUUGCCGUGCGGUGGCUGUGCGGCUGCUUGUUCCUUCUUGUCCGGUGUACAUGAGAAGCUCCAAUUUUGUCGGCAAUAGCCACUGGAGAAAGUAGUGAUUGGGUUUAUAUGGGAUAGUUAUGUAUGUCCAUUGUGUGAUGGGAAAUACAAUGCAGUGGUUAAUUGUCACAUGGCUUCUCAAUAGUGGCUUCUCAGUAAAAAAAAAGUUAUAUGAUGUAUGAUAGCCAUGAGUAUGAUGAUUUUUCGGAUGGGCGGUAAGCUUCCCAUGUUUGAUGUUUUUUUUUUACUUUUUAAAAUUGAACGAUGCUGGUGAGAAUAGUACUGUGGUGUACACUUCUAUUUGGUCAUAUAUUUUGUCCUUUUU